GCUUCAUUGGCUCAGUUGGCAGAGCGUCAGUCUCAUAAUCUGAAGGUCAUGAGUUCGAUCCUCAUAUGGAGCA
rfam:Absidia repens strain NRRL 1336 BCR42scaffold_11, whole genome shotgun sequence.